rnacentral:rRNA from 1 species
GAAGCGGGGGAUAACACCUGGAAACAGAUGCUAAUACCGCAUAACAACUUGGACCGCAUGGUCCGAGCUUGAAAGAUGGCUUCGGCUAUCACUUUUGGAUGGUCCCGCGGCGUAUUAGCUAGAUGGUGGGGUAACGGCUCACCAUGGCAAUGAUACGUAGCCGACCUGAGAGGGUAAUCGGCCACAUUGGGACUGAGACACGGCCCAAACUCCUACGGGAGGCAGCAGUAGGGAAUCUUCCACAAUGGACGAAAGUCUGAUGGAGCAACGCCGCGUGAGUGAAGAAGGGUUUCGGCUCGUAAAACUCUGUUGUUAAAGAAGAACAUAUCUGAGAGUAACUGUUCAGGUAUUGACGGUAUUUAACCAGAAAGCCACGGCUAACUACGUGCCAGCAGCCGCGGUAAUACGUAGGUGGCAAGCGUUGUCCGGAUUUAUUGGGCGUAAAGCGAG